CACGGGGGGAGCAAGCGUUGUUCGGAAUCACUGGGCGUAAAGGGCGUGUAGGCGGUCAGGUUAGUGAGAUGUGAAACGCCCCGGCUCACCCGGGGAUCUGCAUCUCAAACUGCCUGGCUUGAGUAUGGGAGAGGAUGAGGGAAUUCCUGGUGUAGCGGUGAAAUGCGUAGAUAUCAGGAGGAACACCGGUGGCGAAAGCGCUCAUCUGGCCCAAUACUGACGCUGAGGCGCGAAAGCUAGGGGAGCAAACGGG
rnacentral:rRNA from 1 species